rnacentral:rRNA from 1 species
CUCAGGACGAACGCUGGCGGCGUGCCUAAUACAUGCAAGUCGAACGCUUCUUUCCUCCCGAGUGCUUGCACUCAAUUGGAAAGAGGAGUGGCGGACGGGUGAGUAACACGUGGGUAACCUACCCAUCAGAGGGGGAUAACACUUGGAAACAGGUGCUAAUACCGCAUAACAGUUUAUGCCGCAUGGCAUAAGAGUGAAAGGCGCUUUCGGGUGUCGCUGAUGGAUGGACCCGCGGUGCAUUAGCUAGUUGGUGAGGUAACGGCUCACCAAGGCCACGAUGCAUAGCCGACCUGAGAGGGUGAUCGGCCACACUGGGACUGAGACACGGCCCAGACUCCUACGGGAGGCAGCAGUAGGGAAUCUUCGGCAAUGGACGAAAGUCUGACCGAGCAACGCCGCGUGAGUGAAGAAGGUUUUCGGAUCGUAAAACUCUGUUGUUAGAGAAGAACAAGGACGUUAGUAACUGAACGUCCCCUGACGGUAUCUAACCAGAAAGCCACGGCUAACUACGUGCCAGCAGCCGCGGUAAUACGUAGGUGGCAAGCGUUGUCCGGAUUUAUUGGGCGUAAAGCGAGCGCAGGCGGUUUCUUAAGUCUGAUGUGAAAGCCCCCGGCUCAACCGGGGAGGGUCAUUGGAAACUGGGAGACUUGAGUGCAGAAGAGGAGAGUGGAAUUCCAUGUGUAGCGGUGAAAUGCGUAGAUAUAUGGAGGAACACCAGUGGCGAAGGCGGCUCUCUGGUCUGUAACUGACGCUGAGGCUCGAAAGCG